ACCGUUCUUCUUUCUUCCUUGGAGCUCCACUGUUUUGGAUGAACUGGACUAACCCUAGGUAAUUGAUUAAUUUCUCAUGAAAAUAGAAUUUAGAUGAGAGUGAAAUUGAACUGGAGGGUGCUUAAUUCGCCAUUUGUUUCUGGAUGGAGGCUGCAUUAUUUUCUUUAGGAGAGAACCCCUUUUCCAUACUAUACUCUGUACUUCAUAAGGACCUAAAUCCCUCUCAAUAGUCUUGCAAGGUCAACUCAAUUUGUUUUUUUUGUGCUUAAUUUUGUAGAAGGGAUGAAGGUCAUCAACGAGGAGUCUCAAGGUGAACCCCGUGGUACCCGACCAAGUGGCUAGAGGGAAUGGUGUAUGCUCACAAGUUUGUACAGACCAAUUUGUUUCACUCGGACAAGAAUCCCACGAACCUUAAUGUGGCCUUUAAGUUUCAGGUCCUUGGGGUUGGAUGCGGCAACUCGCGGCUCGAAGACAAUCUUUUGUGGUGGGGCGUCGCCGCCGCCGGCGGCUCCUGCAUAGACCGUAUCGCUGGGAACGAAGAGACGCUCCCCUGAUUUGGAGCUGUAGAAAGGAAGUGGUUGCAGACACAAAGUGGGGACACACAACUCCCAGUCAUAAUAUUCUUUAUCUUGGCUCGUUGUUUGGGGAUGGACGCAUCAAUCUGAUGGCGCUCUCCUCCAUGCCAAACGGAUCCUUGGUUCGGAGGCGCGCGGCGCCGACGAUGACAACCUUUCUAUCGACGCAAGGGCAGCAGGAGCUCAUGACGCUGUUGAUGCCACCACCAUGCAUGGGGUUGAUGCAAGUGCGAUCACUAAUGGGGAGAACAUAAAACUUCAAUUGAGGGCACUGUGAUUCUCUAGCUACAUGUAUCAUGGUCACCAACCACACAUGUAAAAACCAUGUCUCCCUACUGUAAUUUGAUGAUUUAUUUACAUGUGGCACAGAAUAGUUCAGAGUUCACUCCGAGAAAGAAUUGCUUUGCAUGUACAUUUGCUAAAAGACGGAUGUGCUGAACUUUCGACGGUUCCGAUUGGUCGCUGACAUAACCUUUCCUCUUUUCAUUGAUAGGUCCAAAAGAGAUCCUUAUUUCACCUUUGUUUAUAGGUAUUCAAUGUGAGGAAUUUUAUACUUUUGGAGUGGAGCUAUCAAAUAUAUAUUAUGAGUUUCUAAAACAUCUAUUAUAAGGAGUUGAACAGAGCUUCCUCUGCCCCGGCAGAUUCUGAGAAAACCAACCAGCAGAGAACAUGAACAAAUAUAGUGAUGAGAAAGGGUGGAGCUGACUACACCACACAUGGAUAUGAUGGUCUCCCCUAUGUUCUUUUUGGCAAUCCAGUUAAUCACUGACUCAACUUUGUAUGUGUGAGCUAACAAGCCCGUGUUAUGUCUUCCCUCUUUCUUUGGCGCUUCCGAUGCACAAAUGGUGGCGGUGAAGCAGCAGGCCCGAGAGAGCGUGCAGGGGAGGAAGGAGUUCCUGGUGGAGGUGCUGAUACUGGCGGUGCUCAGCCACCCUAACUUCGUCAGCCUGAUCGGCUUCUGCGCGCAGGGGACAAGCGGCUGCUGUUGUACGAGUACAUGCCCUUCGGCAGCCUGGAGAGUCAUCUCUUUGGUAAUACUUCUCAAAAUUAUUUAGACUUGCUAAUAGAGCAUUCGAUGUUUAGCUUCUGCCAAUCUGUACAUUCUGUUCUUAGAUUUAUUUUCCCUCAAUACCUUGUUUAGUACAAGGAAGGACUGAUAUUAUUCCCCAGCCAGGGUCGUUGAUUAUUGUUUAUUUUAUCAUAGUUCAGUGUUUUUCAUCUGAAAAUAGAUUCAAAUGUGUACAGAGUAAGGGUCGUUAAAUUUUUAUCUAUAGUCCUUCAUCACCAUCAUCGAGCCGCUGGAAGGUGGGAAGCAGAGAGGAUGUCUCAUAGGAGGAUUCCAUCAGAUUAGUUAGAAAUUAGAAUGCCGCUCAACCUAGCAUUAAGGUUGGUUGAGCCUGAUGCACUAGCACAUUGGAUUAGUUGGAAAUCAGAAUGUACGAUUAAUUAUUAGAGAACUAUACAUGCAGAUUACUCAUGUGUGUCUCGGUACCAUGA